rnacentral:tRNA from 1 species
GGAGUUGUGGCUCAGUGGAAGAGCCUCUGCUUUGUGUGCAGAAAGUUUGAUGUUCAAUCCUUGGCAUCUCCA